rnacentral:misc_RNA from 1 species
GAUUGAACUGAGUAUGUCAUGGGAGGUGGACACCAAAAAUUGUGUUGAUCAAGAAGUUGCCUCAAUUAUUAUUCCAACUGAUAAGUGAAAAAUGCAUAAAGCGCCCGGCAUGAAUAAUUAUUUCAGAGAUGUUAGUUCUGCCAUGUCCACAAUGCAUUUGAGAGCUUGCAUUAGCAGUUAUUUAUUUUACUUUAAAAGAAGUUUAACUUCUUAGUAGAAUGAAAGCCCAAAAGUAGGUGCAAAGUACAACUCAUAAUAACAAGUAUAACAAUAAAUACUUAGACCCUAAAUUUCCCAAGUACGUUUGAGUUCUUGAGAAUUACCUUUCCAUUGGAGCCUUCACCCAU